AUUUUAAUUAAAAUGUAGAAUGAGUAGCUUAGGUUUUAAAAAUUUUAAAAAAAUAUUUUUUUGUAAAUUAUGUAUAAUGAAUAGUUUUCCAAAAUAUGAAACGGUUCGAUAGUUCUUUUUAAUUUUUUAUUCAUAUCUUUUCUUCGUGCAAGACUAACCGAAAAUGUGGACAUAGCCCAACCUCUUUUCCAUGGUCCAGUUAGUCUUUACUAUUGACAUAUUGGUGUGCAGGUUCAUAUUGCAAAUAAAUAAAUAUUAUAAUUAUUUUAUUAACAGAAAUUGAUUAGCAUUGAUUAAUGCAAUAUUUUACUGCAACCUAGUCACAUUUCUUCUGAAGUGCGGGACCUACGUCUGAACCCUCCAAGUACAUGCUGCAACCCUCCAAGUACAUGCUGCAACUUUGGGAAGCUGCUCACGCAUCAAUAGCACACUCCACCUUGACACAUUUUCACCAGCAUAUGAAAUUUAGACCUCAGCAUAGAGAAUUUUUCAAAAAUAUUUUCUAAGAUAGCGUUGUAAGUACAGUCUUAAUCAACGAAAUUUUCACUAUUAAUUUAGAAUAUGUGUGUCACAAUUAAUAAUAAAUAAUGGGAGUAGAAUCUAGGGUCGUGUCUCCAAGAGUUGACACAGAAUGUAAAUUAUUGCUCAGGAUUUUUUUUGAAUAAUUUUGAGAUUGAGAACGGAAAAACAAAGAAACUAGAAAUUAAAGCAAUGAUCAAAUAACAAGAGGUGUUAUGUAUUUGAAAUAAAAUGCCUUGGUUAGGGGAGAGAACUGGAAUUUCUAUUUUUGUUGUCUUGCUCAAGUAUAAUAGUAAGAGUUCAUUGCUUCCACUUAAUUAUCUUCUAACAUUUGAAGAAAAGUUAAGUGGUUGUCACUAAUUUUGACUCACAAGUCCUAGUCACUUUGUGGGGAAGGACUUGAGUUGGUGAAAAUUGAGUUAGCCAGCAAUUUUGAAUUACAGAUUAAUAUUUGAACGUCACAAUUCAAGGGUUUCCAAUUAUCAACCCCCAACCAAGUUGGGAGUUUUAAGCCAUCAACAUGAAUGUCAUUUUCAUAAACAUAUAAUAAGAAUAAAUAAAAGACAAGGUAAUUUUGAGAAAUUUAUUAAAUUAAAACAGGCAUGGACAAAUAAUUAAUACGAAUCAAACAAGCAAUAAAGAUAAAUAUAAAAAUACUUCAAUGCAUUAAUAAUAGUCAAAAGUGACAAGAUCCAAACGUGAAUGCAAAAUAAUCAAAUGAAAAAGAGUAGUAAAGAAAUUAGAAAGGUAAACUAUAAAAGAGUUGACUCCAAUUGAAGGUAGCAACAGCUUUCCUAAUAUCCAAUGCGAAGAUGAACUAAGAAUGCUAAAACCCUAGAGAGAAGUAGGAGUUUCUCUCACUAGAAUUCAAACCUAAUAAAAAAUUUAGAAUGAAAAGUGAAGUGUGUUCAGUUUCAACUCCAUCCCUACCUCUAGUCUGUGUUUUCGGGCAUGAAACAGGGUCUAAAUCAGCCCAAAAAUAGCUCUCAACGAGUUCUGUUACGUGCAGCACGUGACGUUCUGUCAUGUGUACGCGUCGGUUAUGUGUAUGCGUCAGUCACGCGUACGCAUCGCUGAAAGACGUUUUGGAUCACGCGCACGGGUCAGCCGACGCGUGCGCGUCGCUCCUCGCUUCUCAACUCUUUAGUUGCUUGUGUUCCUUCCACUCUAACAUACUUCAUCUUCAUCUUCAUCUUUUAAGUCAUUCAUGUCUUGUAAAUUUGAAAACACUUAACAAACACAUCACGACAUCGAAUGGUAAUAAAGGAGAAUUAAAAAUUAACAAUUUUAAGGUAUAGGAAGCAUUUUUUCAUCAUAGCACAAAAUUAGGAAAGAAAUAAAAAACAUAUAAUUUACAUGAAUAAGUGUGAGAAUAGUUGACAAAACUUACUCAAUUCACUCCAAAAUAUAUCAUAAAAUAGUGGCUUAUUAAAUCUCCACACAUUUAAAUAUUAGCAUGUCCUCAUGCUAAGUUCAGGUGAGACAAACAAGUGAAGGGAAAGCAGUGAGACUUAUGCAAUGUAAUUUAUCUAUAGGGAUGCAACUACAUGCUAAAUGCUUCUACUUACUUGUUUAAAAGUAAACAAAUUCUCUAAGACAAAUAUAAACUGGAUUCCACUAAUUCAAAUCACAUAAUAAAGUACAAGUAAACUUGUAUGAAAAAAGCUCAUGAAAGUCGGAAACAAAGAAUCGAGCAUCGAACCCUCACUAUAAGUGUAUACACUCUAAUCACUCUAGUGUUUGAGAGUUGAGUCUGUCGGUUUUCUACUAAUCUUGCUUUCCAAGGCUUGCUCUUCUUCUACCAAUCAAUAAUAUUUAAUGCAUAAAUACACAUAUCAAGAGGUCUUUGCAAGCGUUGUAAUGGAGUUAGGGUCAAGGUAAGAAUAUAUUUGGUUUAGUGGACCAAAAUUCGAAUCCUUGAUUAACCUAAACUUCUCACCUACCCUAAGACAUUCUAUAUUAUCACAAUGCAAAGUCCAACCACCCAUUAACUAUUUUUUCACAAAUUCAUGCACCUUGAAGUCUUUUGAAUACAAAUAAUAUGCAUUAGUUCACUUAUUAGCCUUGGGAUAUUUUGUCUCAUUUUUAUUAUUUUCUCUCUUUUUUUUCUUUUUCUUUUCUUAUUAUUUAUUUUUUUUUCAGUGAGUUAAUGCAUAUGAUUAAUGUGUUGGAUGCAUGAACAAGUGCCCAACUGUUUUUACAUUUUCAUUUAAGAACAUAAAAUGCCCAAUUUUCUAGACAUGUAUUCUCCAAUUCAAUUUUCUCACAAUUCAUGUACACUUCACUAGUCUAAGCUAACAAAGGAUUCAAAUUAGGGAUAUUUAUUAUUUUUCGCUUAGAGUUAAUGAUGUGCUAAAAUAAAGAAUAAAUGGGAUAAAAUGGCUUAACAUUGGUUUGCAAGAGAAAUGAUAGGGUAAUGCCAUAUGGAUAUGUAAGUUAAGUGAAACAAGACCUCAAUCACAUAAGUGUAUGUAUACAUCAAACAAUGAAAAUAUAAGGAGAAGUUGAAAGAAGUUAUCAAGAGGUGGAAGUCACCAAGGAAGAGCAUAAAGGGAUGAUACUUGCAAAACCAUUGGAGUUAUCGUUUUCUAAGUCACAAUCCAACACAACAUUCAAGUGGGUAAAAUUCUUAUCCUUAAGCUUUACUUUUUCACUUGAAUAUGGUUUGCUUGAAACGGAUGGACAACUUAGAGCUCUUUGUGGAGUUAAGAGUAAGAGGGAAUGGUGUAGUGGUUGGAAGUUUGAUGUUAAGUUUAUUAAGGUUGAACCCUCAAGGCAUAGGUCUCAUGGUUGGAGGAAAGCUAAUUUGUGUGGGUUUAGGAGGAGAAUUUGGUGCAUUUUGACGAACGAAAAUUGUGUCGGUAGAGAAUUUUCACAAUUGAAAUCUCGUUGCAAGUAUAGUUCUAAGCUAACAAAAAAUUUCUCAAUAAAAAAUUUGGUUGUCACAAGUACAAAUCCCAUUAAAAAUAAACUGAAGUAUUUAAAUCGCGGGUUGUUUUAAAGAAUUGCAGGGAAGUGUGCUUAAUUAUUGGUUAUGGGUUGUAUGUUUUGUGGUUUUGAAUAAGGGAUAAGAAAUGUAAAUGACAAGAAAGUAAAUGAAACUCAAAUGAUAAAAAGGUCUUGGCAAUGGUUGAUGGUUGAGAAUCUCUAUCCUUAUUACUAACCACAAUAUGAUAAUUGCAAAUAUCAAUCCCAUUAAGUCAUCCUUCAACGAGUGAAGGAAAGUCAAAUGAGCUUUAUCAAUCCUAGUCUAUAAGUCCUAACCAUUUCACGAAUUGAUUUAGUGUGAGCUAGUGUCAAUGGAUCUCAAUUAUCAAUCACUUGGUUAUUAGUAACUCAAUGGUUCCUAAGUUACCAUCCCAAGUCAAGAACACAAAAAUCUAUUCUAACAUCCUUUCAAGCAUUUUGUCAAACACUUAGAAGACAUAAAAGGAAAACAAGAUAAAAUUGCAAGAAAUGUAAAUCUACAACUACCAAUUGCAAGGAAAUAAUAAUAACAAAGCAAUUAAACAACAAAAACAUAAAACAUGAAAUUACAUUAAAGGAAGUUGAAAUUGACAAGAGUGUUCAUAACAUAAACAUAACUAAAAUGAGAAAUUAACAUGAGGAAAGAGAGAAAUCAAGACAAUAGAAUAAGAAAUUGUAAAUGAAAAGUGGAUGAAAACAUGGAAUUAAACCUAGAUCUAACAUAGAUUUAACCUAAACCUAACCUAGUUCUAAAGAGAAGCUUGUUGGUUUAGACUAUACUCACGACGGAUUUAAUUGGUAAAUUUUAGACCGGCAAUAAAUUCCAUCAUCAAAUUUUGGCGCCUUUGUCGGGGAGUUGAAUAUGUGUGCCAUGUUGUUGGUUAGUGUAAAUAUGCGGAUACGUGAAUACUUGCAUUUUCCUGGAUUGUUUGUUAGUUCAAUUGUUAGGUAUGAUUAGUCUUUGUUUAGUUUAUUUUAUUGUCAUGAGUUCUAUACUUCCUUCAUUGAAUGACGCGUUCAUUAUCGGAUUCGAGUUUAGCUACAUUUAACCCUGAGAUUGAAAGAACUUCACUUCACAUUAGGCAAGCUCGGAGACGGUUUGCUUUUGGAGGUGGUGAAAAGGUUUUUACCAAUUCACCAACCAUAUCAGAGGUUGAAUUCGAAUCGUCAUUCGAAAAAGGCACUAUCUACUCUUCUAUUGAUACUACUAAUAACUCUUCCAUCGAUUUAGGUAUUGAUACUAUGGUCGCUCUAAGGAGAGUCACUCUUAAGGAAGUUGGUGCUCCGGAUUUUGCUCUUUAAUCGCUUCAUGUGCGUCAUCCGGACUUGAAUGCUAAAUUUGAGCUCAAAAUCGCUUUGAUCAAUCUUACUUGCUCAAGAUCCUAUUAGACACCAUAGGGACUUCCAAGGUGUAUUAUCUACUACUAGGCGGAAAGGUUCCGAUGAAGUUGCCGUUUGGUUGUAUAUCUUUCCAUUCUCUUUUGAGGGAAGAGCUAAAGAGUGGUUUUACACUUUGUCCAAUGAGAUUGUUAGCAAUUGGGAUUUGCUUAGAAGGGAGUUUCUAGACAAAUUCUUUCCUGUGAAAGUGACAGAUAGGUUACGGAAAGAAAUUUCAUGCAUUGUCCAAGGUGAAUCGGAGACUUUAUAUGAGUUUUGGAAACGGUUUCGAAAAUUUCUUGACUCAUGUCCUAACCACAUGAUUGAUUAGCUACUUUUGCCAAGGAAUGAAAUCGCAAGACAAGAUCGCCUUGGAUGCUUCAAGUAAUGGUUCCUUGACAAAGUAUAGAACGGUAGAAGAAGCAUGGUAAUUCAUCACCGAUUUGGCCGAGUCCACCCUACAUGCUAGACAAAGAAACAAUCAUCCAAGAGCCAUCAAUAAAGUUUCUUCUAGUGGUGAGACCGUUGCCUUCACUAAAACCUUGGGGGAGAUGACUAGCAUUCUUAAACAACUCCAACUUAAUCAACAACUUUAACCUCCAACUCCUCAACAACAACAAAGUCAACAAUUGGAUCCCCAAAGAGUGUGCGGAAUUCGCUCUUGUUACUCCCAUUAUAUGGAUGAAUGUCCAAGUCUCCAAGAUGACAAUACCCUAGCGGCUACUAAUAUUUAUUACAACCGUCUGAAUCAAGGGUAUCACCAACAAGGAGGCAACUAUAACCAAGGGGGCAAUUACAACCAAGGUUGGUAAGAUAAUUCUAUCCAAGGGUGGAGAGACAACUAUAACUAAGGAGAUAUAGACAAUGGAGAGAAUCAAAGGUGGAACAACCAUCAACAACACCGAUACCAACAAAACCCAUCAUACCAUCAAAACUCACCAUAUGAACAAAAUCAAGGAAGAAACUACCAAACCUACCAACUACCACCAAAGGCAAGCACCUCAAUUUAAUCAACCACAAACUCCCAAAAUCACCUAUCAUUUCCUUUCUUUCAACCAAGAUGAGACACCCCGUUCUAUUCUUCAAGGACAAAAAAACUUCAAACCACAUUUGUCGUUAGUUUCACCGGUCUUACAUCUACCAUCCAAGCUCUUUUAGCCCGUAUAGAACCACCUUCUACCCUCACUACUCAAAUUUCAAGUUCUAGUGCUUUGCCCUCUCAACCUUUACCCAACCCCAAGGGUGGCGUCAAUGCCAUCACCUUGGGGUCCGGCACCAAAUUGCAAAAGAGGAUGUGGUUGAGGUAGAAGAAAUUGAAGAGGAGGAUGAGGCACAUGAGGUAGUUGAAGAAGAAGUCAACCAACCAAAAAACAAGAGUUUUUAAGGAUGGAAGUGUCUUGGAAGAGGCUACUCCAAUUCCAUUUCCUACAUUGACACGGAAGACCAAGAAGCAUGUAGAACUUGAUCCCAAAAUGGUGAAAAUGUUCAAAAAGAUAUAGGUAACUAUCCCUCUUUUUGAUGCUAUUCGCCAAGUCCCUAAAUAUGCCAAGUUUCUAAAAGAUUUGUGUAUGAAUAAGGAAAGAAUUCAUGAUUUAGAAACUAUUCCAUUGGGAAGCUCUAUUUCGGCUUUGAUGGGUACAAUACUGGAGAAAUGUGGUGAUCCGAGUCCUUGCUUAGUCACUUGCACCAUAUAUGGGGUCCAAUUCGUUGAUUGCAUGUGUGAUCUUGGUGUCUAUGUUAGUAUUAUGCCUCUAUCCGUUUAUCAUGUAUUGAAGUUCCCAACGUUGAAACGGUCGGUGGCUCGGUUUGUAUUGGCGGACAAGAGCAUAAUAUAUGUGGUUGGUAUUGCGGAGGAUGUGUUGGUGAGUAUAAAGGGAUGGGUCUUCCCAAUUGAUUUUCAUAUUCUUGAGAUGCCGCCUAGUGAAUCCGAAAGAAUAUCGUUUAUCUUGCUACGAAGACCUUUUUUAGGACCUUUCGAUUUAAAAGGGAUGUUUUCUCGGGUACUUAUUCUUUUGAGAUUGAUGGAAGAGUUGUGAACUUUUGUCUUGAUGAAACCAUGAGACACCCAUCGGAGGAUCAUUCAAUUUUUCUGUGUGAAUUGAUUGACAAUGUUGUGGCCGAAGUACAUAAUGCUAAUCUUGAUCAGAAGAGUAUGAUUCAAGCUCCAAGUGUGGGGAGCCCCCACGAAUGUGAAAAGAACAAUUUACCCACUCCGUUCUUUUCGGAUGAUCAAAUGCCGAGUCAUAAACAAAGUGUAGAGUUGAAACUACUUCCAUCCAACUUAAAAUAUGCUUAUCUUGAUGAAGAUCAUAAGUUUCUGGUAAUUGUUGCAAGGGAGCUCACCUCCCAAAAAGAGAAGUUACUUCAUAUCUUGAGGAGAAAUAGGGUGGAACUUGGCAGACCUAAUUGGCAUAAGCCCUCAAGGGUGUGAACACCGCAUCUUUUUAGAAGAAGGAGCUAAACCUAUUCGCCAACCUCAAAGGCGUUUAAAUCUUACUAUUUCAGAGGUUGUGAAGAAGGAGGUAACCCGGUUGCUAGAGGCCGACAUAAUCUAUCCGAUUUCGGAUAGUGAGUGGGUGAGCCCCGUACAAGUCGUCCCAAAGAAGUUUUGUGUUACUAUAAUCAAGAAUGAGAGUAGGGAGUUAAUGGCCACAAUGGUGCAAAACUCAUGGAGAGUGUGUAUUGACUAUGUUUGGUAAAUCUUAUUAUUGUUUCUUAGAUGACUAUUCUAGGUACUUUUAAAUCCACAUUGCUCCAGAAGAUCACGAAAAAACUACCUUUACGUGCCCUUUUGGAACAUAUGCCUACAAGAGAAUGUCAAUUGGCUUGUGGAACUCACCAGUUAUGUUCCAAAGAUGUAUAAUGAGUAUAUUUGCGGAUUUUCUUAAGCAUUGCAUGGAGGUGUUCAUGGACAAUUUUAGUGCAUAUGGAGACUCCUUUGACUUUUGCUUGGACAACCUUGCAAAAGUAUUAGAAAGAUGUACAAAAUUAAACCUUGUUUCUAAUUUUAAGAAAUGCUCUUUUAUGGUUAGACAAGAUAUUAUUUUAGGACACAUUGUCUCUAAUAAUGGUUUUUCUGUGAAUCCGACAAAGGUCGAUGUGUUUUCUAGUUUGCUUUGUCCCUCCUCUGUGAGGGAAGUCUGUGCGUUUCUUGGUCAUGCAAGUUUUUACCGGCGGUUUAUUAAGGACUUUAGUAAUGUGGCACUACCUCUCUCCCGGUUAUUGCAAAAUGACGUUGAAUUUGAAUUGAGUGAAGAUUGCAUGGAGUUAUUUGACAAGCUCAAAAUUGCUUUGACCCAAGCUUUCAUUGUAAGAGGGCCGGAAUGGAGUAGGCCAUUCGAGAUCAUGUGUGAUGCAUCAAACUAUGCAGUGGGAGCAGCGCUAGCUCAGCGCGAAGGUAACAAUUCUUAUGUCAUUGCCUAUGCCUCUAAAACUUUGGAUGGAGCCUAAUCCAAUUAUACUAUCACUGAGAAAGAAUUGUUAGCUAUUGUCGUUGUCUUGGAUAAAUUCCGGGCUUAUUUACUUGGCUCAAAGGUGGUAGUAUAUUCGGAUCAUGCGACAUUGAAAUAUUUGUUGGUCAAAAAGGAGUCUAAACCAAGGUUGAUAAGAUGGGUAUUUCUUCUGCAAGAAUUUGAUUUAGAAAUAAAAGAUAAGAGUGGCGGACCACUUGAGUCACGUUGAGCAUACAAAGGGCGACCCCACUCCUAUCAAUGAUGCAUUUCCCCUUUAGGGAUCGCGAGCAAUAUCGGAAGUGAUUCCUCGGUAUGCACUUAUUGCCAUUUACUUGGUUGCUCGCACCUUUCCUCCCAAGUUCUCUAAGAACCAAAGGGAUAAGCUUAAGAGCGAAUCUAAAUAUUAUAUAUGGGAUGACCCAUACUUAUGAAAAUGUGAUGCAGACCAAGUAAUCAAAGGUGUAUCCCAUAAUCUGAAUUCUAGUCUAUUUUGGAGGCCUGCCACUCCUCUAAGGGAGGUGGCCAUUUUGGUCUUCAAAGAACUGCAAGAAAGAUUCUAGACUGUGGAUUUUGGUGACCUACACCUUUCAAGGAUGUAUCUCUCUUUUUUAAGUCUUGUCAACAAUUCCUUGGAUUUGGAAAUAUCUCCAAGAAGGAUGAAAUACCCCAACAAAAAUCAUGUUAUUUUAUGAGAUUUUUAAUGUUUGAGGUAUUGACUUCAUGGGGCCUUUCCCAAACUUUAAUGGUUUUCUGUAUUCUGCUAGCUGUUGACUAUGUUUCCAAAUGGGUGGAAGCGAUUCCCACCCGGACUGAUAAUGCUAAUGUAGUUCUUUCUUUUGUUCGCAAUAACUUAAUUUGUCACUUUGGAUCACGAGCAAUCAUGAGUGAUCAAGGCUCUCAUUUUUGCAACAAGAAAAUGAUAGGGUUAAUGAAGAAGUAUGGCAUCAUUCACAAGGUGGCCACGGUUUACCAUUCCCAAACAAAUGGCCAAGUCGAGGUCUCCAACCAGAAAGAAAAUCAAGCGUAUAUUGGUGAAAAUUGUGAAGCCUCAUAGGAGGGACGGAAGUGCUAAGCUCAAUGAUGCGCUAUGGGUUUACUGGACGGCUUACAAGAUGCCAAUUGGUAUGAGUCAGUUCUGGAUAAUCUAUGGCAAUGCCAUCUACCGGUGGAGAUAGAGCACAAAGCUUAUUGGACCGUCAAAGAAUGCAACUCAGGAUUUGGGGGGACGAAAUCGAAAGGAAGUUACAACUAGUGAAAUUGGAGUGUCUUAGAUUGAAAGCUUAUGAGAAUUCAAAGAUAAAAAAAAGAGAGGAUGAAAGCGGUGCAUGACAAGAAUAUCAGAAGGAGAGAGUUUAGAGCUGGAGAUCUUAUCCUUCUCUACAACUCUAGAUUGAGGUUGGUAUAGAGUUGUAGGGAAGGACAAGAUCCCUAGCUCUAAAACUCUCUUUUUCUGAUAUUCUUGUCAUGCACCGCUUUUAUCUUCUCUUUGUAAAGCCUUAAAUGCUCAUAAGCUUCAAAUCUAAGACACUCCAAUUCCAGCUGCUGUAACUUCCUUUCGAUUCCGCCCCCAAUCUUGAGUUGCAUUUUGUGAUGGCCCAAUAAGCCUUAUGUUCUAUCUCCACUUGUAGGUGGCAAGUCUUGCCAUAGACUAGCCGGAACGAGCUCAUACCAAUUGGCGUCUUAUAAGCCGUCCAGUAAGCCCAUAGCGCAUGAGAUUUAUUUAAUGGCUAUUGGUUAUGUGUGGACACAACUCCGUUCAACUUAACCAGCAAGUGUACUAGGUCAUCCAAGUAAUACCUUACGUGAGUAAGGGUCGAUCCCACAGAGAUUGUUGGUAUGAAGCAAGUUAUGGUCAACUUGUAAAUCUCAGUUAGGCAGAUUAAAUGGUUAUGAUUUUCGAAAAUUAAUAAUAAAUAGAAAAUAAAAAGGGAUAGAAAUACUUAUGUAAAUCAAUAGUGGAAAUUUCAGAUAGGCGUAUGGAGAUGCUGUGUUCCUCUCGAAUCUCUACUUUUUUAUUACAUUCAUUCAAUUCUUCUUACUCCUUUCCAUGGCAAGCUGUAUGUAGGGCAUCACCACCAUCAAUGGCUACUUUUAAUCCUCUCGGGAAAAUGGUCCUAUGCGCUGUCACUGCACGGCUAAUCGUUUGGAGGCAUCACCCUUGUUGAUAGCUACAUCCCAUCCUCUCAGUGAAAAUGGUCCAAAUGCUCUGUCACAGCACGGUUAAUCAUCUGUCGGUUCUCAAUCAGAUUGGAGUAGAAUCCAUUGAUUCUUUUGCGUUUGUCAUCACGCCCAACCUUCAGGAGUUUGAAGCUCAUCACAAUCAUUCAAUACUGGAAUCCUACUCGGAAUACCACAGACAAGGUUAGACUUUCUGGAUCCUCAUGAAUGCCGCCAUCUAUCUAGCUUAUACCACGAAGAUUCUGUUAGGGAAUCUAAGAGAUAUGCGCCCGACCUAGAGUAGAACGGAAGUGGUUGUCAGUCACGCGCGUUCAUAGGUGAGAAUGAUGAUGAGUAUCACGGAUCAUCACAUUCAUCAAAGUGUUGUGCAACGUAUAUCUUGGAAUAAGAAUAAAAGAGAAUUGAAUAGAAAGUAAUAGUAAUUGUAUUGAAACUUGAGGUACAGCAGAGCUCCACACCCUUAAUCUAUGGUGUGUAGAAACUCCACUGUUGAAAAUACAUAAGUGAAAGGUUCAGGCAUGGCCGAAUGGCCAGCCCCCAUGGUCUAAGGACUAGGCGUCCAGAGAUCUCUAAUACACUUGUAAAAAGUCCUAUUUAUAAUAAGCUAGCUACUAGGGUUUACAUGAGUAAGUAAUUGAUGCAUAAAUCCACUUCCGGGGCCCAUUUGGUGUAUGUUUGGGCUGAGCUUGAUCUAUCCACGAGCUGAAGCGUUUAUUGGAGUUGAACGCCAAGUUAUAACGUGUUUUGGGCGUUCAACUCUGGAUCAUGACCUGUUUCUGGCGUUUAACUCCAGACAGCAGCAUGUACUUGGCGUUCAACGCCAAGUUACGUCGUCAAUUUCCGAAUAAAGUAUGAACUAUUAUAUAUUGCUGGAAAGCUCUGGAUGUAUACUUUCCAACGCCGUUAAGAGCGCGCCAUUUGGAGUUCUGUAGCUCCAGAAAAUCCAUUUCGAGUGUAGGGAGGUCAGAUUCCAACAGCAUCAGCAGUCCUUUUGUCAGCCUUUUUCAGAGUUUUGCUCAAGUCCCUCAAUUUCAGCCAGAAAUUACUUGAAAUCACAGAAAAACACACAAACUCAUAGUAAAGUCCAGAAAUGUGAAUUUAACAUAAAAACUAAUGAAAACAUCCCUAAAAGUAGCUUGAACUUACUAAAAACUACCUAAAAACAAUGCCAAAAAGCGUAUAAAUUAUCCGCUCAUCACAAGCUUAGCACGUCCCCCUCUUAUGAGACUUUACAAUUUUUUCCAAUAUGUGCUUGAUUUUUCGGUUGGAGACCUCGGCUUGGCCAUUUGUUUGGGGAUGAUAGGCCAUGGCCACUUUAUGAAUGAUGCCAUACUUCUUCAUAAAUCCUGUCAUUCUCUUGUUGUAAAAAUGAUUGCCUUGAUCACUCACGAUUGCUCGUGAUGAUCCAAAGCGACAAAUUAUGUUAUUCCGAACAAAAGAAAGAACCACAUUGGCAUCAUCAGUCUGGGUGGGAAUCGCUUUCACCAAUUUGGAAACAUAGUCAACAACUAGCAGAAUAUAGAGGAAAUUAUUAGAGUUUGUAAAAUGCCCCAUGAAGUCAAUACUCCAAACAUAAAAAAUCUCACAAAAUAACAUGGUUUGUUGGGAUAUUUCAGUCUUCUUGGAGAUGUUUCCAAAUCUAAGGCAUUGUGGACAAAACUUACAAAAGAGAGAUGCAUCCUUGAAAAGUGUAAGCCACAAAAAUUCGCAGUCUAGAAUCUUUCUUGCAGUUCUUUGAGGACCAAAAUGGCCACCUCCCUCAGAGGAGUGGCAUGCCUCCAAAAUAGACUGGAAUUCAGAUUGUGGGAUACACCUUCUGAGUACUUGGUAUGCACCACAUCUCCAUAAAUAUGGGUCAUCCCAUAUAUAAUAUUUGGAUUCGCUCUUAAGCUUAUCCCUUUGGUGCUUAGAGAACUUGGGAGGAAAGGUGCGACCAACCAAGUAAUUGGCAAUAGGUGCAUACCAAGGGAUCACUUUCGAUAUUGCUUGCGAGCCCUCAGGGGAAAUACAUCGUUGAUAGGAGUGAGAUCGCCUUUUGUAUGCUUAAGGCGACUCAAGUGUUCCGCCACUAAAUUUUGGCAACCACUCCUAUCUUUGAUUUCUAAAUCAAAUUCUUGUAGAAGCAAUACCCAUCUUAUCAACCUUGGUUUAGACUCCUUCUUGGCCAACAAAUAUUUCAAUGCUGCAUGAUCCGAAUAUACUACUACCUUUGAGCCAAGUAAAUAAGCUCAGAAUUUAUCCAAGGCAAAGACAAUAGCUAACAAUUCUUUCUCAGUGAUAGUAUAAUUGGGUUGGGCUCCAUCCAAAGUUUUAGAGGCAUAGGCAAUGACAUAAGGAUUGUUACCUUCGCGCUAAGAUAGUGCCACUCCCACUGCAUAGUUUGAUGCAUCUCACAUGAACUCGAAUGGCCUACUCUAGUCCGGCCUUUCUACAAUGAGAGCUUGGGUCAAAGCAAUUUUGAGCUUGUCAAAUGCCUCCAUGCAAUCUUCACUCAACUCAAAUUCAACAUUAUUUUGCAACAACCGGGAGAGUGGUAGUGCCACCUUACUAAAGUCCUUAAUAAACCGUCGGUAAAAACCUGCAUGACCAAGAAACGCACGGACUUCCCUCAUAGAGGAAAGGUAAAGCAAACUAGAAAUCUGGAUCCACAGAAAUACCAUUAUUAGAGACAAUGUGUCCUAAAACAAUACAUUGUCUAACCAUAAAAUGACAUUUAUCAAAAUUAAAAACAAGGUUUGAUUUAGUACAUCUCUCUAAUACUUUUGCAUAUUUGUCCAAGCAAAAGUCAAAGGAGUCCCAUAGACACUAAAAUCAUCCAUGAACACCUCCAUGCAAUGCUCAAGUAAGAUCCGUAAAUAUACUCAGCAUACAUCUUUGGAACGUAGCUGAUGCAUUGCACAAGGCAAAUGUCAUUCUCUUGUAAGCAUAUGUUCCAAAGUGGCAUGUGAAGGUAGUUUUCUCCUGAUCUUCUGGAGCAAUGUGGAUUUGAAAGUACCCAAAAUAGCUAUCUAAGAAACAAUAACGACGAGAUUUACCAAACAAGCGAUCAAGCAUUUGAUCGAUGAAUGGCAAUGGAAAGUGAUCAUUUCUAGUGGCCAUGUUCUAAUGACGAUAGUCAAUACACACCUUCCAUGAGUUUGAUACCCUUGUGGCCAUAAGCUCCCCGCUCUCAUUCUUGAUUGUAGUAACACCGGACUUCUCUGGAAUGAUAGGAUUCAAACGCCUGAGGUUGGCGAAUAGGUUUAGCUCCUUCUUCUAAGAAGAUGCGGUGUUCACACACUUGAGGGUUUAUGCCAAUUAAGUCCGCCAAACUCCACCCUAUAGCCUUUUUAUUUUCCCUCAAGAUUCGAAGUAACUUCUCCUCUUGUUGGGAGGUGAGCUCCCUCGCAACAAUUGCUGGAAGCUUGUGAUCUUCAUCAAGAUAGGCAUAUUUUAGGUGGGGUGGAAGUGAUUUCAACUUUAUACUUUGUUCAUGACUCGGCAUUUGAUCAUCCGGUAAGACUAGAGUGGAUAAGAUGUUCUCUUCACAUUCGUGGGGGCUCCCCACAUUUGGACCUUGAAUCUACUUUUCUCAUCAAGAUUAGCAUUAUGUACUUCGGCCACAACAUUGUCAAUCAAGUCACACCAGAAAAUUGAAUGAUCUUCUGGUAGGUGUCUCAUGGCUUCAUCAAGACUAAAGCUCACAACUCUUCCAUCAAUCUUAAAAGAAUAAGUACCCGAGAAAACAUCUAGUUUGAAUCGAGAGGUCCUCAAGAACGGCUUCCCAGGAUAGACGAUGUUCUUUCGAAUUCACUUGGCGGCAUCUCAAGAAUAUGAAAAUUAAUUGGGAAGACCCAUCCCUUUAUACUCACCUACACAUCUUCCGUAAUACCAACCAUAGGUAUUAUGCUCUUGUCUGCCAAUACAAAUCGAGCCGCCGACCGUUUCAAUGUUGGGAGCUUCAAUAUAUGAUAAACGGAUAGAGGCAUAAUACUAACACAGGCACCAAGAUCACGCAUGCAAUCAACGAAUUGGACCCCAUCUAUGGUGCAAGUGACUAAGCAAGGACCCGGAUCACCACAUUUCUCCAGUAUUGUACCCAUCAAAGCCGAAAUAGAGCUUUCCAAUGGAAUAGUUUCUAAAUAAUGAAUUCUUUCCUUAUUCAUACACAAAUCUUUUAGAAACUUGGCAUAUUUAGGGACUUGGCGAAUAGCAUCAAAAAGAGGGAUAGUUACCUCUACCUUUUUGAAUAUUUCCACCAUUUUGGGAUCAAGUUCUACAUGCUUCUUGGUCUUCCUUAUCAAUGUAGGAAAUGGAAUUGGAGUAGCCUUUUCCAAGACACUUCCAUCCUUAGAAACUCUGCUUUUUGGUUGGUUGACUUCUUCUUCAACUACCUCAUGUGCCUCAUCCUCCUCUUCAAUUUCUUCUACCUCAACCACAUCCUCUUUUUGAGUCUAAUUUGGUGCCUUCGGACUCCUCUCUUGCAAUUUGGUGUCUGACCUCAAGGUGAUGGCAUUGAUGCCACCCUUGGGGUUGGGUAAAUAUUGAGAGGGCAAAGCACGAGAACUUGAAGCUUGAGUAGUGUGGGUAGAAGGUGGUUCCAUACUUGCUAGAAGAGCUUGGAUGGUAGAUGUAAGACCUGUGAGACUAGAGGCAAGUGUGGUUUAAAGUUCUUUUUGUCCUUGAAAAAUUAGAAUGGCUCAUUUUGGUUGGAAGAAGGGGAAGGAUAGGUGAUUUGGGGGGUUUGUGGUUGAUUACGUUGAGGUGCUUGCCUUUGGUGUGGUGGUUAGUAGGUUUGCAAGUUUUUUCCUUGGUUUUGUUGGUAUGGUGGGUUUUGUUGGUAACAAUAUUGUUGAUGGUUGUUGUUCCACCUUUGAUUUCCUCCAUUGUUUCUACCUCCUUGGUUAUAGUUGUCCCUCCAUCAUUGGUUGAAAUUGUCUUGCCAACCUUGGUUAUAAUUGCCUCCUUAUUGGUGAUACCCUUGGUUCGAACGGUUGUAAUAGACAUUAGUAGCCGCUAGGGUAUUGUCAUCUUGGAGACUUGGACAUUCAUCCGUAUAAUGGGAGUAGCAAGAGCAAAUUUUACACACUCUUUGGGGAACCAGUUGUUGACUUUGUUGUUGUUGAGGAGGUUGAGGUUGUUGUUGAUUAAUUUGGAGUUGCUUAAGAAUGCUAGUCAUCUCUCCCAAGGUUUUAGUGAGGGCGGUGGUCUCACCACCAGAAGAAACUUCAUUGAUGGUUCUUGGAUGAUUGUUUCUUUGUCUAGCAUGUAGGGUGGAUUCGGCUAAAUUGGUGCUGAGUUGCCAUGCUUCUUCAGCCGUUCUAUACUUUGUCAUGGAACCAUUACUUGAAGUAUCCAAAAGGAUUUUGUCUUGCGGUUUCAUUCCUUGGCAAAAGUAGCUAAUCAACACUAGAGUGUCAAUCAUGUGGUUGGGGAAUGAGUCAAGAAACUUUCAGAACCGUUCUCAAUACUCAUAUAAAGUCUCCGAUUUACCUUGGACAAUGCAUAAAAUUUCUUUCCGUAACCUAUCUAUCACUUCCACAUGAAAGAAUUUGUCUAGGAACUCCCUUCUAAGCAAAUUCCAAUCGCUAACAAUCUCAUUGGGCAAAAUAUAGAACCACUAUUUAGCUAUUCCCACGACCAAACGGCAACCUCAUCGCAACCUUCCCGCUAGUAGUAGAACAUACACCUUGGAAGUCCCUAAGGUGUCUAAUAGGAUCUAGAGCGGGAAGUCCAUGGAACUUCGGUAGAAGAUUGAUCAAAGCGGUUUUGAGCUCAAAAUUAGCAUUCAAAUCCGGAUGACACACAUGAAGCGAUUGAAGAACAAAAUCCGAAGCACCGGCUUCCUUAAGAGUGACCCUCUUUGGAGCGGCCAUAGUAUCGGUACCUAAUUCAAUGGAAGAGUUAUUAGUAGUAUCAAUGGAAGAUUAGAUAGUGUCUUCUUCGAAUGACGAUUCGGAUUCAACCUCGGAUAUGGUUGGUGAAUUGGUAAAAUUGCAGACAUCAAUCCUACCAUCGACAAUUUGUGUGUACGUAUAUGUGUGAUACGGUUAUGGACACUACCAAGUUACGGAAAUUCUCCAUUGCCAUACUCAAUUGAGAUGGUUUGGCUCGAUGAAGACUCUUUGACAAAGAGGCAAAACA